rnacentral:rRNA from 1 species
UCCAUAGGUUAAUGAGGCGAACCGGGGAACUGAACAUCUAAGUACCCCGAGGAAAAGAAAUCAACCGAGAUUCCCCCAGUAGCGGCGAGCGAACGGGGAGCAGCCCAGAGCCUGAAUCAGUGUGUGUGUUAGUGGAAGCGUCUGGAAAGGCGUGCGAUACAGGGUGACAGCCCCGUACACAAAAAUGCACAUGCUGUGAGCUCGAUGAGUAGGGCGGGACACGUGGUAUCCUGUCUGAAUAUGGGGGACCAUCCUCCAAGGCUAAAUACUCCUGACUGACCGAUAGUGAACCAGUACCGUGAGGGAAAGGCGAAAAGAACCCCGGCGAGGGGAGUGAAAAAGAACCUGAAACCGUGUACGUACAAGCAGUGGGAGCACGCUUAGGCGUGUGACUGCGUACCUUUUGUAUAAUGGGUCAGCGACUUAUAUUCUGUAGCAAGGUUAACCGAAUAGGGGAGCCGAAGGGAAACCGAGUCUUAACUGGGCGUUAAGUUGCAGGGUAUAGACCCGAAACCCGGUGAUCUAGCCAUGGGCAGGUUGAAGGUUGGGUAACACUAACUGGAGGACCGAACCGACUAAUGUUGAAAAAUUAGCGGAUGACUUGUGGCUGGGGUGAAAGGCCAAUCAAACCGGGAGAUAGCUGGUUCUCCCCGAAAGCUAUUUAGGUAGCGCCUCGUGAAUUCAUCUCCGGGGUAGAGCACUGUUUCGGCAAGGGGGUCAUCCCGACUUACCAACCCGAUGCAAACUGCGAAUACCGGAGAAUGUUAUCACGGGAGACACACGGCGGGUGCUAACGUCCGUCGUGAAGAGGGAAACAACCCAGACCGCCAGCUAAGGUCCCAAAGUCAUGGUUAAGUGGGAAACGAUGUGGGAAGGCCCAGACAGCCAGGAUGUUGGCUUAGAAGCAGCCAUCAUUUAAAGAAAGCGUAAUAGCUCACUGGUCGAGUCGGCCUGCGCGGAAGAUGUAACGGGGCUAAACCAUGCACCGAAGCUGCGGCAGCGACGCUGAUGCGUUGUUGGGUAGGGGAGCGUUCUGUAAGCCUGCGAAGGUGUGCUGUGAGGCAUGCUGGAGGUAUCAGAAGUGCGAAUGCUGACAUAAGUAACGAUAAAGCGGGUGAAAAGCCCGCUCGCCGGAAGACCAAGGGUUCCUGUCCAACGUUAAUCGGGGCAGGGUGAGUCGACCCCUAAGGCGAGGCCGAAAGGCGUAGUCGAUGGGAAACAGGUUAAUAUUCCUGUACUUGGUGUUACUGCGAAGGGGGGACGGAGAAGGCUAUGUUGGCCGGGCGACGGUUGUCCCGGUUUAAGCGUGUAGGCUGGUUUUCCAGGCAAAUCCGGAAAAUCAAGGCUGAGGCGUGAUGACGAGGCACUACGGUGCUGAAGCAACAAAUGCCCUGCUUCCAGGAAAAGCCUCUAAGCAUCAGGUAACAUCAAAUCGUACCCCAAACCGACACAGGUGGUCAGGUAGAGAAUACCAAGGCGCUUGAGAGAACUCGGGUGAAGGAACUAGGCAAAAUGGUGCCGUAACUUCGGGAGAAGGCACGCUGAUAUGUAGGUGAAGUCCCUCGCGGAUGGAGCUGAAAUCAGUCGAAGAUACCAGCUGGCUGCAACUGUUUAUUAAAAACACAGCACUGUGCAAACACGAAAGUGGACGUAUACGGUGUGACGCCUGCCCGGUGCCGGAAGGUUAAUUGAUGGGGUCAGCGCAAGCGAAGCUCUUGAUCGAAGCCCCGGUAAACGGCGGCCGUAACUAUAACGGUCCUAAGGUAGCGAAAUUCCUUGUCGGGUAAGUUCCGACCUGCACGAAUGGCGUAAUGAUGGCCAGGCUGUCUCCACCCGAGACUCAGUGAAAUUGAACUCGCUGUGAAGAUGCAGUGUACCCGCGGCAAGACGGAAAGACCCCGUGAACCUUUACUAUAGCUUGACACUGAACAUUGAGCCUUGAUGUGUAGGAUAGGUGGGAGGCUUUGAAGUGUGGACGCCAGUCUGCAUGGAGCCGACCUUGAAAUACCACCCUUUAAUGUUUGAUGUUCUAACGUGGACCCGUGAUCCGGGUUGCGGACAGUGUCUGGUGGGUAGUUUGACUGGGGCGGUCUCCUCCUAAAGAGUAACGGAGGAGCACGAAGGUUGGCUAAUCCUGGUCGGACAUCAGGAGGUUAGUGCAAUGGCAUAAGCCAGCUUGACUGCGAGCGUGACGGCGCGAGCAGGUGCGAAAGCAGGUCAUAGUGAUCCGGUGGUUCUGAAUGGAAGGGCCAUCGCUCAACGGAUAAAAGGUACUCCGGGGAUAACAGGCUGAUACCGCCCAAGAGUUCAUAUCGACGGCGGUGUUUGGCACCUCGAUGUCGGCUCAUCACAUCCUGGGGCUGAAGUAGGUCCCAAGGGUAUGGCUGUUCGCCAUUUAAAGUGGUACGCGAGCUGGGUUUAGAACGUCGUGAGACAGUUCGGUCCCUAUCUGCCGUGGGCGCUGGAGAACUGAGGGGGCUGCUCCUAGUACGAGAGGACCGGAGUGGACGCAUCACUGGUGUUCGGGUUGUCAUGCCAAUGGCACUGCCCGGUAGCUAAAUGCGGAAGAGAUAAGUGCUGAAAGCAUCUAAGCACGAAACUUGCCCCGAGAUGAGUUCUCCCUGACUCCUUGAGAGUCCUGAAGGAACGUUGAAGACGACGACGUUGAUAGGCCGGGUGUGUAAGCGCAGCGAUGCGUUGAGCUAACCGGUACUAAUGAACCGUGAGGCUUAACC